CUCUCCCGUCCGCGGGUGGGGCGCCCGCCGGAGGAUAACCAAACUCUGAUUUAACGACGUUUCUUCUGAGUGACACAAGCAAAUAAUCAAAACUUUUAACAACGGUUCUCUUGGUUCUGGCAUCGAUGAAGAACGCAGCGAAAUGCGAUAAGUAAUGUGAAUUGCAGAAUUCAGUGAAUCAUCGAAUCUUUGAACGCACAUUGCGCCCGCCAGCAUUCUGGCGGGCAUGCCUGUUCGAGCGUCAUUUCAACCCUCAAGCUCUGCUUGGUGUUGGGGCUCUACGGUUGACGUAGGCCCUUAAAGGUAGUGGCGGACCCUCUCGGAGCCUCCUUUGCGUAGUAACAUUUCGUCUCGCAUUGGGAUUCGGAGGGACUCUAGCCGUAAAACCCCCAAUUUUACUAAGGUUGACCUCGGAUCAGGUAGGAAUACCCGCUGAACUUAAGCAUAUCAAAAGCCGGAGGACAUUCUUAAGGUGACUCACGCUCAUCACCCUUUGUGAACAUACCUUAACUGUUGCUUCGGCGGGUAGGCGUCCCUGAAAAGGACGUCUCCGGCCCUCUCCCGUCCGCGGGUGGGGCGCCGCCGGAGGAUAACAACUCUGAUUUAACGACGUUUCUUCUGAGUGACAAAGCAAAUAAUCAAACUUUUAACAACGG
rnacentral:rRNA from 1 species